CAGCAGCCACGGUAAGACAGAGGAUGCAAGCGUUAUCCGGAAUUAUUGGGCGUAAAGGGCUCGCAGGCGGUUUCUUAAGUCUGAUGUGAAAGCCCCCGGCUCAACCGGGGAGGGUCAUUGGAAACUGGGAAACUUGAGUGCAGAAGAGGAGAGUGGAAUUCCACGUGUAGCGGUGAAAUGCGUAGAGAUGUGGAGGAACACCAGUGGCGAAGGCGACUCUCUGGUCUGUAACUGACGCUGAGGAGCGAAAGCGUGGGGAGCGAACAGGAUUAGAUACCCCAGUAGUCCCUGUCUCUUAUAC
rnacentral:rRNA from 1 species